rnacentral:precursor_RNA from 1 species
CUCCUCUCAAGCAGCACCAGCUUCCUGGCCUCGUUCCUCUGCUGGGAGCCACUCAAGGUAGGUGGGAUGCAGGGGAGCC